AAUAGAUACCCGGGUAGUCCACGCCGUAAACGAUGAGUGCUAAGUGUUAGAGGGUUUCCGCCCUUUAGUGCUGCAGCAAACGCAUUAAGCACUCCGCCUGGGGAGUACGGUCGCAAGACUGAAACUCAAAGGAAUUGACGGGGGGCCCGCACAAGCGGUGGAGCAUGUGGUUUAAUUCGAAGCAACGCGAAGAACCUUACCAGGUCUUGACAUCCUCUGACACUCCUAGAGAUAGGAAUUUCCCCUUCGGGGGACAGGGUGACAGGUGGUGCAUGGUUGUCGUCAGCUCGUGUCGUGAGAUGUUGGGUUAAGUCCCGCAACGAGCGCAACCCUUGAUCUUAGUUGCCAGCAUUCAGUUGGGCACUCUAAGGUGACUGCCGGUGACAAACCGGAGGAAGGUGGGGAUGACGUCAAAUCAUCAUGCCCCUUAUGACCUGGGCUACACACGUGCUACAAUGGAUGGUACAAAGGGCAGCGAAACCGCGAGGUUAAGCCAAUCCCAUAAAACCAUUCUCAGUUCGGAUUGCAGGCUGCAACG
rnacentral:rRNA from 1 species